AUUGAACGCUGGCGGCAUGCCUUACACAUGCAAGUCGAACGGUAACGCGGGGCAACCUGGCGACGAGUGGCGAACGGGUGAGUAAUGUAUCGGAACGUGCCCAGUUGUGGGGGAUAACUGCUCGAAAGAGCAGCUAAUACCGCAUACGACCUGAGGGUGAAAGCGGGGGAUCGCAAGACCUCGCGCAAUUGGAGCGGCCGAUAUCAGAUUAGGUAGUUGGUGGGGUAAAGGCUCACCAAGCCAACGAUCUGUAGCUGGUCUGGGAGGACGACCAGCCACACUGGGACUGAGACACGGCCCAGACUCCUACGGGAGGCAGCAGUGAGGAAUUUUGGACAAUGGACGCAAGUCUGAUCCAGCCAUGCCGCGUGCGGGAAGAAGGCCUUCGGGUUGUAAACCGCUUUUGUCAGGGAAGAAACGCUCUGGGUUAAUACCUCGGGGUAAUGACGGUACCUGAAGAAUAAGCACCGGCUAACUACGUGCCAGCAGCCGCCGUAAUAC
rnacentral:rRNA from 1 species